ACUGUGGCAGGUUACUCUGGCAGGUUACAUGACUGAACUCUGCAGGCCAGGCCUAAGGAAAAUGUGGCAUGAGUGCCACAAUACACCAUCAGUGCCACCCACCUUCAAGGUCAGGGGAACAGCAGGAAGUAGUGGAGCUGUGAAAACUAGAUAGCCUGCCCUGUGGGAAUUCAGCAGUUGUCUCUCUAUCUUGGGCACUGCACACAGUAUCCUAAUUUUUCAAGGGAAUUUAGAAAUCUGGAGUUUCCCAUGAAAUAUCCUGAUUUUUAAAGUUUUGCCAGUUGAUUGAAACUUAAAAAAAAGAUGCUGGCUGAUACCAUGCAGGUCAAGUAAAAAGUAUCUUCAAAUGGGAUGUGGUUCAUGGGCCACCAAUUUAUAGGCUUUGCCAGGUGUUUACCGUAUGUUUUGGGAUCUUGAUGUCCCCCUGACUCUGUGUGGCAGUAAGAUGUUUCAGGAAUCAGGAGAUCUGAGGUUCCUAUUUCUUUAUAUGAGACAGUGGGACUAAUUUUCCUACUUAAUAAUAAGAGAUACUAAAAACAAAAUGUAGAGAUUCAAAUUCCAAGAAAUAUAAUUAUUACAUUGCAUUGAACUGGAAUUGGAAUUGAAGAUAAUUUUGCUUUCAUUUUCAUCUCAAAGCCUGGGUAGAAAGAGAAAAACCAAUGGAGAGCUAUAAAAUACUUAGGUUGACAAUAUCUAAUGUGGAUGAGACUUUAAGGAUAAAUUUUUAUGUAGGGUAAAUUACUCAAUACUCUUUUUGAAUAGGUAAUAUUAGUACAUAGAAAAAAAUACAUUGUAUUAGAUUUGGAAGUAGGAAUAGGAAGCUCUAUCUAUAGAAAAUCUGAAAGUAUCACUAUUUUAUGAGCUAUCAUAUUAUGAUUCAACUCAGGGGAAACCAAUAAAACUAUAGUACCUUUACUUCAUUUUACAAAUAUAAUAAGGUAAGGGCAUUUAUUGGGGGGGGGAUCUGGAUUAAUUUGAAGGAAAUAAGCCAUAGGCUCUCUGUAGAUAACUUAAAAAUUAACUCACUGGAAGCUCAAGAGAAUGUGUGACAUGAAUUAAAAAGACCAGACUUAUGGAAGGAAAAAGUCCUUCAUCGUUGAUUGCAAUGUCUAAAAUAAUGUAAUGUUAAAGAUUAUCAUCAAAAGGGAUAGAGCAUUUCUUUCAAAAUAAAGAUUGCUCAAGGGGAAGAUCAGGUGAAAAUAAAAUUAUGUGAAGAAAAAAUAUCCAAGGCUAACCUUGAGUUAAUACCUCAAAAAUGUAUAGAAACACAUACAUGCACCACACAAGUACCAGUAAAAUGAGAGUUUUGAAUAAAAAUGGAUGGGUUGCUCAAUAUUGAUAAGUUAUAUCCUGGCUGUUAUGUUGUACUAUUGUUUUGCAAGAUGUUACUGUUGGGGUUACUGGGUAAAGGGUAUGUGGGAUCUCUGUGUUUCUCUCAACUGUAUGAGAAUCUACAAUUAUCUAGAAAUAAAAUUUUUAAUUUUGAAACUCUAAUAAAAAGGUAGAAUAUUGGAGUUCCUGUUGUGGCUCAGUGGGUUAAGAACCCGACAUAGUGUCCAUGAGGAUGUGGAAACAAUGCCUGGCCUUGCUCAGUGGGUUAAGGAUCUGUUGUUGCCACAAGCUGCAGCAUAGGUCACAGAUGCCAUUGGAUUUGGCAUGGCUAUGGCUGUGGCGUAGGCUACAGCUUCAGCUCUAAUUCUACCCCGGCCUGGAAACUUCCAUAUGCCGCAGACGCAGACUUAAAAAGAAAAAAAGAGAGAGAAUAAAUGGGUUUUUUUGCUUCAGUGUGAGGAAGAUAUAAGGGAACUUCUCAUUUCUAUAGUGUCCUUUGAAAGAGAAAGAUAGCAGGUACUAUUAUCAAAUAUUGGCAAUUACAAGCACUAGCCUCAAGUUAGUAGUAAGUUAUGGUAGUUCAGAAUCUGUAUGUUGUCACUGUCAGCUGUUAGCCACUGUGAGCCUGAGGGUAGAACACUGCUUUAUUAUCUUUGUAUGCCUAAUGCCUUUGAAGAGUAACUGGCAUAAAAGAAGUGUUCAAUAAAUGCUUAUUUUUCUAUAGAAAGAAGGAAGGAAGAAAAAGAGGAGAGAGAAAGAAAGAAAGAAAGAAAGAGAAAAAGAAAGGAAGAAAAGAAGGAAGGAAGGAAGAGAAAAGAAAAGAAGAAAGAAAUGAAGGAAGGAUGAGGGAGGGAGAGAGGGAGGAAGAAAGAGGGAGUGAGGGCAUAAGAAUCGAUGAAAUGCCAGGGCAAGCACAGUCCUCAGGAGUCAGUAUAACUCAGUAAUUAAGUGAAUGGCCUUGGACUACCUGGGCUCAAAUCUCAGCUCUUUCCCUAACUAGUGGGAGGGUUAUGCACUAUUUAAUCCUUAGAUACUCACCCUUGAAAUGAAGAUGAUGAAAUAACAUCACCUAUUUCACAGGUUUUGGAAAACUCAGAAAAGUAAAAUGGAACAAGAGCACAGAGCCUAGGAAACAAUAAACACUCAGGGAACAUUAGGGGCUGUUCUCCAUAAGCAAGAGCCCAGUGCUAGCUGUGAGAAUUACAGGCCAGUGAUCUUCCUUCAUACUGGGUAAAUUAGUUAAAAGUAGAAUAAUGAUAAUCACUAGUGACUAAGAUUAUUUUUAUUUACUUAUUUAUUUUGCUUUUUAGGGCCUCAUCUACAGCUUAUGGAAGUUCCCUGGCUAGGGGUAGAAUUGGAGCUACAGCUGCUGUCCUGCACCACAGCCACAGUACUGGUGGGGUUUGAGCUACAUCUGUGACCUACACUGCACCUCACCGCAAUGCCAGAUCCUUAACCUACUGAACAACAUAGAUCAAACCUGCAUGCUCAUGAUUACUAGUCAGGUUAUUUCCACUGAGCCACAAUGGGAAUACCCAAACAACUAAGAUUAAUAGAGCAAAUGCAAGAAGAUAAUCCCUGCACAUCUACUGGAGUUCUUCAUGAACACAACUGUAUAUUAAAUACUUGGUAAAUGGAAGACACCUUAUGAAGUAUUUAACUUAAUGCUAAUAAUAACCCUAAGAGGUAGGUGCUACUAUUAUGCCCAGUUUACCCAUGAAGAAAUCAAGACAAAAGAGGUCAACUAGUGAGUCAACUAACAAAGUUAGUGUUUGAAGGGCUGGCUCAAGAGCUCCAUGUUUGGCAUCCUCCUUUGGGAAAUAAAGAAAAUUAAAUUGUGGAGUUCCCAUCAUGGCUUAGCAGAAAUGAAUCUGACUAGCAUCUUUGAGAAUGUAGGUUCAAUCCCUGGCCUCAUUCAGUGGGUUAAGGAUCUGGUAUUGCCGUGAGUUGUGGCGUAGCUCGCAGACAUGGCUUGGAUCUGGUGUUGCUGUGGCUGUGGCGUAGGCCAGCAGCUGUGGUUCCGAUUGGACUCCUAGCCUGGGAAACUCCAUAUGCUGUGGGUGCGGCCCUAAAAAGGCCAAAAAAAAAAAAAAAA
rnacentral:lncRNA from 1 species